ensembl:lncRNA
GGCUACUUGUUUCAAAUUACCCGUGCUGCUGAAAUAGUUACAGUUACACAGGCUACAGAUGAUACAUUAGAAAAUGCACAUUUUAUAACUUACGUAAUUGACAUUUGCUGAAAUGAUUAGCAGUAUGUUAUAAGUGCUCAGCCACUGGUGCAGACCAGGUAACAUUAUCUUACAAUCUAAAUUUGCUUACAUUAUAUCAAAUAAGUGAUGUCUUACAUUAUGUUUAUUACACAGCAACUGAAUCAAUCAGAAGAUGGACCAUUUUCUACGUUCACCAUUCAGUGUGUUUUUGUCUCAAACAGCUACCCCUUCACUGCAGACAAGCUGAAGGCUAAAUCCUCAACUGGAGUCUUUCUCUGUAUGGAUCUCAGUAUUUUUGGACAGAAUUUAGGAUAUUGUUGGGAUCUCCACUGAAGGACUGAGUACAUUUGUGUUUGUAGACACGCAUACAGACCAGGGAACAUUCUGAUGUUGUCAGUCAUGUUCUGAUCAGGAGCCAGUCUUCGGAGAAGUUCAUUUAUUCCCGAAGGUGGACAAAAACAUUGUGUAGGCUUUUAAAAGGCUAUUUUGAUAAUGACUUUUACUCUUAUGCUGCGGAAAAGAUGGAGGAGUACAGACAUUGAUAAUAAGAAAUGUUUUUUAAACAUUAAAGAGACUUCUUUCAGAACACUUUGGCCACCAGUGUACAUCAAAAGUGAAAAGAUUAUGAAGGUGGGGUAAUGUGUCAUGUUAUCUAAUGAGAUGAAAAGAACUGUUUUGUCCCGUGUUGGGCAUUUCCCUUUUGACUGC